rnacentral:rRNA from 1 species
GACGAACGCUGGCGGCGUGCUUAACACAUGCAAGUCGAGCGGAAAGGCCACUUCGGUGGUACUCGAGCGGCGAACGGGUGAGUAACACGUGAGUAAUCUGCCCCUCACUUUGGGAUAGCCACCGGAAACGGUGAUUAAUACCGGAUAUGACCAUAUGUCGCAUGGCGUGUGGUGGAAAGGUUUUCGGUGAGGGAUGUGCUCGCGGCCUAUCAGCGUGAUGGUGGGGUAAUGGCUCACCAUGGCUUCGACGGGUAGACGGCCUGAGAGGGUGACCGGUCACACUGGGAGUGAGACACGGCCCAGACUCCUACGGGAGGCAGCAGUGGGGAAUAUUGGACGAAGGGCGGAAGCGUGAUCCAGCAACGCCGCGUGAGGGAUGACAGCCUUCGGGUUGUAAACCUCUUUCAGUACCGACGAAGCGCAAGGGACGGUAGGGACAGAAGAAGCACCGGCCAACUACGU